rnacentral:misc_RNA from 1 species
AAAUUUAUUCCCCUUUACCGACUGCAGUAAUAGAGACUCAAUCAAGCACAUCAAGCCUCGUCAUCUUCGAACUAUCUCAUCUGCAUCCACCUAAUGACCCUUGAUCUUGAUGCAGAAGCUCGCUAUCACUAUCAUAAAAAAUUCAAGUUUAAAACCCCAUAUAUCCACUUUUAGAUGGUGCUGCUACCAAACCUUAAAGUGAAAAAGAGACGGUGAGCAGGCUUGUCUCCAGUUGAGCCUCGCCAUCGCCUACAUCCUCCAGUCGAGACUCUUUCACCUCCGGUCGUCUUCACGCCGAGUCUAGCUUCGCCCUUGCUGGCUCACCGUUUGGAAGUGAGUUGGGAUUGAGUAUUUGGGUUUAUAAUUGGUUUGUGAUUUUUUAUUUUUAAUUUGUCUUUGAGUUGUUUUUUAUUCAUUUUUUCUUAUGUGUUUUUCAUUUCUUUUAUGAAUUGUGAGGUUUGAACUUUGGCCACAGUGGGUAUGAAUUCUCUGUGAAUGUUUUAACUUUAGCCAUGUUGGGCAUGAAUUUUAGGUUUGGAU